rnacentral:rRNA from 1 species
UGCGUAGGCGGUCUUUCAAGCCAGAAGUGAAAGGCUACGGCUCAACCGUAGUAAGCUUCUGGAACUGUAAGACUUGAGUGCAGGAGAGGAGAGUGGAAUUCCUAGUGUAGCGGUGAAAUGCGUAGAUAUUAGGAGGAACACCAGUAGCGAAGGCGGCUCUCUGGACUGUAACUGACGCUGAGGCACGAAAGCGUGGGGAGCAAACA